UCUAUAUGUGAGUUUUUUUUCUCUCUCUCUCCCUUCCACUUCAUGUUUUCCUAGGCCAAAAUGCGCUUCAACAUUCUCCUUUUUCAAAGCUUUCUCUCCCCCCUUCCUUCCCCUGUGAAGGGAACUCCCAGCAUCCCCAUUUCUCCUUAUAAACAUACAGUCAAAAUCCUGGUUUACUUUUAUUGUAAAGGCACUCUUUCACUCUCCGCAGUUCCCCAACAAUCUCUUUUCUUCCUUUCGGGUCCUUCUCCCUCCCUUUCCCUGAGUGCAUGCGUGUGAAUGUUUUAAAAAUCCCUCUAACUGCCUUUAAAUAUGAGGAGGGCAUUAGAGUCCAGGGGACCUUCCAGGCACAGCUGAAGAGAUCCAGAGGACCGGACCCAACCACCUGACUGAGGACAUCAGACCAGACUGCAAGACCCAUAAUCCAUACCUGCCACCAUGAACAGUUCUAAGACCUGGGUAGGGGCUCUCGGAGUGCGCUGUGGAUUUCAUGCAGCAGCUAGAACCCAGAGGCCAUUGGAGAUGGUCCUGUGAGGGCUUUUAUGGCCAGACCACCGUAUGGUGCCCUCCAGCUGGCCUGGUUCUGCCCUGGCAAAGGGCUACUGAGUGCAGGUCUGCCUUUGACGCUGCCAAGGAGGCCCUCAUGACAUCACCAGGGGACAGAAUUGGCCGCCAUGGCAGAAGAUGUCCCAGAAGAAGUGAACAGGAUUCUACCAGUGACCACCAUGAGGGAAGGAUGUUCCGCCCUCACCAGAGCUGUGCCAAAGAAGGACCCCAGGACUGCUGGAGCCCUCACAAGGUAUGAGUGACUUCCCUGACUAACCCCACCACGGGAAGGAGGGGGGGCUUAUAAUCUGUCCUUAGUUUCCCUAGGCACUCUCUCCUUUCCGUCUCCUCUGUUGGAGUGCUGGACCUGCCUGCAGUCACCAGGAGGCGCCGUGCUGUGAGGCGCAGAAGCUGUGCCCAGUUGCCCCCAGCUGCCAACUACAAAGGGGGGCCCAAGCUGCAGCCAAGAAAAGGCAGCCAAAUGGGAGUACUGCAUCACAGCCUCCAUCAUCCCCAGCCCUCACCACCUCCACCUUCAUGCUCCAUUUCCCAUGACUCCAGACCAAGGGACAUCUGUUUCAACACCAUGGGAUCACCCACCACUGACUGAACCUCAGCUUUCACCUCUUCAAGCUCCUGCCCUCCAACAAAAGUCACAAUCUGAUCUACCAAGGCAGAGGCCCUGCAUGCAGUGAAAUGUCGGGGCUUUGGGAAAUGUUCAUAGCCAUUUCCAAGCCCCGAAGGGGGGGAAAUGUGAUCGAGGUGACCACCCCCCCCCCCAGGACUUUGUAAAAGAUAGUUCAAAAAUCAAGACUUUAUGUUCUAUAUUUCAUAUAUUUAUAGUAGAAGGUGAUUGAGACUUUUUACUGGAGUUUACUGUGGAUUAUCCCUGCACUCUGAGGCAAGAGAUAACAACUUCAUGAAUUGUAAAAUCAUGCUGCUAAAACUCCACUUUUAUGAAUUUCCAUGCUGGGUUCUCCAGAUGUUAUGAACCUCGUUCUUAUCAAAUGUUUUCAAUUGUUUAUAUCAUUCAUGAUUCCCCUUUAUGCAAUGUAACCCACCUUUAUGGAUUCUCCCUUAUUUCCUUGAAAUCUAUCUAUCUGCCUAUAUGUAUUUGUACUCUUUGGGAUCCCCGGAAAAUAUGUAUUUUUCCCAGCAGGAUUUAUAUUCCAACUUUAUUUUAUUUUUCAUUUUAUUUCAUAUAAUUGUCAAAUCAUGAAAUCAAAUAGGAAAUAUUUUGAACUUAACCUGAACCCCAGAUCCUAUGACCCAGGCUUCCCUUCCCAAAAACAAAAGGAUAAUCCGCCACCGCUUAACCCAAUCAAAUUCAGAUUGCAUGGACAAUAUAGGGCUUGAGUCGCCGAAUUCGGAGUAUUGACCUAAAGGUGAUUCGCCCCCAAGGCAAACAUUGUCAUAUCUCCUCCAAAAGAAAAUCCAGGACACCUUAGGAAGGCGCCCUGCAGAGCCUGUCAAUUAUGACCCAUCACCACCCAUCUCUACUUCCACCUCUGACACCCCAAGGCAUAUCUGAAAUCUGUAUACGUGACAGGAACCCUUGAUUGCUGUCAUUAAUCCCUUUAGAAAUCGGCCGGGCAGGAAUUAAUCCGAUCUUUCCUGCUCAGUCACUUCAUUGUUUCAAUAACUCCCGCCUUCUCCUCCCUGAUUGGCUCGAGUGGGGACAAAAAGCAGCUCCCUAUUGGGCCAACAGAGCAAGGCGGGAAACGAAAGCCCGCCUCGUUCAACCUUCUAGCCUAUCAGCGAUCAGAUGGGCGGGGGAGUGGGGCGGGAAAUUCAAAGGGCUGUCAGACUGAAACUUUGUAUAAAUAUGGCUUUAUUUUGAUUAUGUGGUACCCUAGUAGACUGAAUGAUCACUACUAGAGUCCUUUUCAGCUGAAUCGCUCAAUAAAGACUCCUUGGCGGAUUUUCCUUCAA